rnacentral:rRNA from 1 species
CGCAUCUGUGCAUGCAGCAUAUCAAUAAGCGGAGGAAAAGAAACUAACAAGGAUUCCCUCAGUAACGGCGAGUGAAGCGGGAAGAGCUCAAAUUUGAAAUCUUGAAAGGUCACCUUUCACGAAUUGUAGUUUAAAGAAGUGUUUUCUGUUACGAUCGUAAUAUAAGUUCUUUGGAAUAGGACAUCACAGAGGGUGAGAAUCCCGUCUAUGAUUGCGAUUUGUAGCUUUGUGAUACACUUUCAAAGAGUCGGGUUGUUUGGGAAUGCAGCCCAAAACGGGAGGUAAAUUUCUUCUAAGGCUAAAUAUUGGCGAGAGACCGAUAGCGAACAAGUACCGUGAGGGAAAGAUGAAAAGAACUUUGAAAAGAGAGUUAAAUAGUACGUGAAAUUGUCAAAAGGGAAGCGUUUAACACCAGUGUUGUUUUCUGAAAAUCAACCUCUGUUAGCUUUAUGCAUGUUUGCUUUAGACCUAAUCAGCUAUCUUGCAUGUUCUAUUGUUUGCAGUGGUGCACUUUUCAGUUUACAGGUCAACAUCAGUUUUUUUUACCGUAAAAAAGUUAAAGAAAGGUAGCUCAUGGCUCCGGUCGUGAGUGUUAUAGUCUUUUUCCUAUGCGGUAGGAGAGACUGAGGUCUGCAGUGUAGGCUAUUUGGCUAGAUACUCAGGUGCUAUGUGAUACCAUUUCAUAAACAACUUGUUGAUUAUGUUUUGUCUAUUGCAUACUCGCUUGUACUAUCAUACCUACGCUUAGGAUGUUGAAGUCAUCGUAUCGCGC